GGUGCGCGGGCCGCCUGGGGCCGCUCGCUUAGUCGGAGUCACCCGGGGUACUGCCUCGCGGGGCAGAGCCCACCUCGGGUGCCUUGCUGUGCCCAGCGCUCGGGAAGGGUGUGAUUUCCGCUCGGCCGCGGGAGGGGCUGCCCUCCAGGCAGGUGCGCCCGGGAGUCACUUCUGCUCCUGGUCUGAGGUUCGCCUCUGGAAUCCCCGAACACACAAAUUGUACCCAGGACAGGCGUGCUCACCCACUCUCUUACGAACACACCCACACAGAGAAACUCCAGUAAGAGGCGCUAGAGAAGAGCUGGAUUUUAAUAGUUGCCUACUGAGAACCUGA
rnacentral:lncRNA from 1 species